UGGCAGGUCAGCAUACUGCCGUGAAUACGUUCCCGGGCCUUGUACACACCGCCCGUCACACCAUGAGAGUUGGGGAUACCCGAAGCCUGUGAGCCAACUAUAUAGAGGCAGCAGUCGAAGGUAGAAUCAAUGAUUGGGGUGAAGUCGUAACAAGGUAAC
rnacentral:rRNA from 1 species